rnacentral:rRNA from 1 species
UACGAAGGGGGCGAGCGUUGUUCGGAAUUACUGGGCGUAAAGGGCGCGUAGGCGGAUUGCUAAGUCAGGGGUGAAAUCCUGGAGCUCAACUCCAGAACUGCCUUUGAUACUGGCGAUCUUGAGUCCGGGAGAGGUGAGUGGAAUUCCUGGUGUAGCGGUGAAAUGCGCAGAUAUCAGGAAGAACACCCGUGGCGAAGGCGGCUCUCUGGGACGGUACUGACGCUGAGACGCGAAAGCGUGGGGAGCGAACAGG